GUGGGCAGUGGAAGACGCGCGUGCGUGCGUGAGAGCGGGCGAGUCCACGGGGUGGGCUGCGCGCGCCGGGACUGUUUCAGCCCAGCCCCCGGCUAGUUGCUCGCCUCACGCCGGCCCGAGUUGGCGGCAGCGCUGGAGGCCCCGGGCCUGUGACCCCAAAAAGGGAGCCGGGGGCCGGACGGGAGUGCGUCGGCGGCGGCUUAGACCCAGGCCAGGCCCUCUCCCAUCAGCCUCCCAGCCGGCGGCGCCGCGCCCCUCCGCCAACCGCCAGACUAGUACGUUGCGGGGGCCGUGCGCGAAGACAUCCGGGAGAAGCUGGAGCUGAGGCUGGAGUCGCCCGUGGGGACCGAGCCCGCCGUCUACCCGUGGCCGCUGACGGUCUACAGUUGCUGGACUGCUCCCUGCAGAAGAACCGGGAAGAGUAAGACCAGGAACACAUGUGGAAGAAGAAGAAAGAGAUGAUAAAGUAAAGCCUGGUCACCUCCAGGGCCGCUUCGUGCGCGGUGCCAGUCGGCCCCUCGUCAGGGGGGAGGAGACCCGG